rnacentral:rRNA from 1 species
CUCCCUGAGAUCAGCGGCGGACGGGUGAGUAACACGUGGGUAACCUGCCUGUAAGACUGGGAUAACUCCGGGAAACCGGGGCUAAUACCGGAUAACACCUACCCCCGCAUGGGGGAAGGUUGAAAGGUGGCUUCGGCUAUCACUUACAGAUGGACCCGCGGCGCAUUAGCUAGUUGGUGAGGUAAUGGCUCACCAAGGCGACGAUGCGUAGCCGACCUGAGAGGGUGAUCGGCCACACUGGGACUGAGACACGGCCCAGACUCCUACGGGAGGCAGCAGUAGGGAAUCUUCCGCAAUGGACGAAAGUCUGACGGAGCAACGCCGCGUGAGUGAAGAAGGUUUUCGGAUCGUAAAACUCUGUUGUUAGGGAAGAACAAGUGCCGUUCGAAUAGGGCGGCGCCUUGACGGUACCUAACCAGAAAGCCACGGCUAACUACGUGCCAGCAGCCGCGGUAAUACGUAGGUGGCAAGCGUUGUCCGGAAUUAUUGGGCGUAAAGCGCGCGCAGGUGGUUUCUUAAGUCUGAUGUGAAAGCCCACGGCUCAACCGUGGAGGGUCAUUGGAAACUGGGGAACUUGAGUGCAGAAGAGGAAAGUGGAAU